rnacentral:sRNA from 1 species
UACAAUCCUUUUUUAGAUGGCCUAUUU